AACGAACGCUGGCGGCAUGCCUAACACAUGCAAGUCGAACGAGACCUUCGGGUCUAGUGGCGCACGGGUGCGUAACGCGUGGGAACCUGCCUUUAGGUUCGGAAUAACUCAGAGAAAUUUGAGCUAAUACCGGAUAAUGUCUUCGGACCAAAGAUUUAUCGCCUUUAGAUGGGCCCGCGUAAGAUUAGCUAGUUGGUGGGGUAAAGGCCUACCAAGGCGACGAUCAGUAGCUGAUGUGAGAGCAUGAUCAGCCACACGGGCACUGAGACACGGGCCCGACUCCUACGGGAGGCAGCAG
rnacentral:rRNA from 1 species